rnacentral:rRNA from 1 species
GACGAACGCUGGCGGCGUGCUUAACACAUGCAAGUCGAACGGAAAGGCCCUGCUUUUGUGGGGUGCUCGAGUGGCGAACGGGUGAGUAACACGUGAGUAACCUGCCCUUGACUUUGGGAUAACUUCAGGAAACUGGGGCUAAUACCGGAUAGGAGCUCCUGCUGCAUGGUGGGGGUUGGAAAGUUUCGGCGGUUGGGGAUGGACUCGCGGCCUAUCAGCUUGUUGGUGGGGUAGUGGCCUACCAAGGCUUUGACGGGUAGCCGGCCUGAGAGGGUGACCGGCCACAUUGGGACUGAGAUACGGCCCAGACUCCUACGGGAGGCAGCAGUGGGGAAUAUUGCACAAUGGGCGGAAGCCUGAUGCAGCAACGCCGCGUGCGGGAUGACGGCCUUCGGGUUGUAAACCGCUUUCGCCUGUGACGAAGCGUGAGUGACGGUAAUGGGUAAAGAAGCACCGGCUAACUACGUG